GGUAGCUCGUCAGGCUCAUAACCUGAAGGCCGCAGGUUCAAAUCCUGCCCCCGCAA
rnacentral:tRNA from 2 species